GUCCUACAGGUGGCAUAGAACAGGGGGACUUAUUCUUCCCUUCAUACCUUGCUCGUCUAGGAUCAAGAAGGCCAGUGAGUCGGCUAAGAUUUGUGGGUCCCUAAAUUGUUGUCCAUCUCAGCAUUGAGAAGGUAAUUGGGUAGAAAAGAAUCCCCUCAAAAUGUAAUGAGAUCCAGGAGGUUUUCUUUCCUACCCCCGCCUUCCUGAGUGUCUCUUGUCCUUAGUGCGUUUCCCUGCUCGAGUAGACUGUCUUCCUAUUUGAUCUUGAUGUCUACUUAAUAGUCAGAAUCUGCAAAUGGAGGCCUCCUGUGAUGCCGGGAGCCAACACCUCUAUGUGCACCAACUUCUAAAAUUACAUUUCUUUUUUUCUCACCAUAACAAAAAGGGAAUUAUUUGGUUCUGGAUAAAUACCUUGAUUAUUCAACAUUUUCUCAAUUUCUUUCUUUCUUUCUUUUUUUUUUUUUUAAUUCCAGUGACCACUUACCAUUAAAAUAUGGCAGAAUCCUUUCUGCUCAAUCACCAAAGGUGGUGGCCCAUGAAAGACAUUCACCAGGACAGACACCGGCCCGAGAGCCAGGGUGGGCACCAAACCCACGUGCUCUGAGAAAUGACAAGUGCCAUAAGUGUAAUGCCAACAUCUAAUGAGUCAGAGUUCGGGACAGAAUACAGCCCAUGUACAUAUGAAUCUGAAGCCAGCAGGACGAGAUCAAUGAGACGCGAGAUUAGGGUCAAUUGAGGGUAUGGUUUGAAGGGUGAUGAGUCAUGCCAAGGGGAAAGGGAAUGAUAUACUGAGCAUUUGUCUCAAAUAAUGUCGAGCCAACAUGAUACAGAGGAGAAUCAGCCAAUUCUUGGGACACACAUAGUUGAACCAGUUCAUGCUUUCAGACAGAGCCCAGGAUAAAAUGCAUUGUCGCAUUGAGCCAAUACUGACAGUAAAUUAAAAUAAUGCAGCUGCCACAAAUGGUGAGUUGAACACAUGGUGCAAAGCUGACUUCUUCCUUCUAGUUGAACACAGAUGUACGGCGGUUUGCUGCGAUCCCUUCGCGCAUACGUCCGUCAGCUAUGGUUUAUUUUUUCUUUGCAGCGGCAGAGCUGCUCUGGUGUCCAAGUGGAAGGGUUUCCUCUGUCCCCACUAAUUUCCUUUCGUGGAAUCGAGCCUCCCUGCCUGUCCCCAGAGCAAAGCUUACUGGAAUUGACAGUCUAAUCCAACGAAGAAGAGGAUUCUAUGUCCUCAAAUGUGUAGGCAUCGCAUACUGGAAGAGUUCCAUCAAGAUAAAGACUACGGACUUGUUUUUACUAAGUGGUUAUCUUGGCAAAAAUUCUGGAACUAGAGUAAAAUAGGCAAAUUUUUGGCCCUCUUGUUCAACAGUUCUAGUGUCUGGUGAACUAGGCACCUCACACACACACAUACACACACACACACACACCACACACACACACACACACACACAAGCACACACAGAGCCGUGAAAAUAACUGUGGCCCCUUCUUUUGGUGUGAGAUAUGUCAAGUUAGUAUGAUGUAGUACCUGAUUCUUGAUGAUUUAUGCUCAUGGAGCUGAUUCUUCCAAAUUUCAGAGGGUAGAGGAAUUGGAAUCCUGGGUUUGAGGUCUUCUCUACUGAUUACUGGGAGCCUGGUGUUGACCUUACUUCAUUUCAGUUGCCUAAAAAACUGGCCUUAGAAAAUGAGGCUAAUAAUGAAAUCUUUCUGAUUUUGGGGUGGGGAGAGAUUUCCCCAGAUGAAUAUACUGAGUGCUGAACUGAGGCAGCUGGGAGCCACAGCACAGAUACUUAGUUUUACUUCUCUGUAGCCCUUAUCACAGGAUAAUUGCUUAAGGUUCUUAAGCAUUGUGUCUGGCUGUAAGUAAACUCCCGAUAAAUAUGAGUUAUAAUUGCUGACUCACUUAACUCUAAUGGUGCCUGGUGUUUCUGGGAGUUAUGCUGCUUUAAACAAACUAGCAUGUGAAAAACGAACAAAACUAACAAAAUAAAAGAGAGAGAGAGAGAGAGAAAAUGUUCACUGUCUUAGAAACAUAGAUCUUGAGAGAAGGGUUGGAGUAUAACCCGAGAGAUGGUUUGUUCUUUCUUUAUUCAUUUAGUUCAGCCCCUGCUUGAAAUGUGGAAGUAAGAAACCAUUUCAUUUUGUAUUCUCUUCCAUCCUGUAUCAUGCACAAGUUGGAAUUAGAAUGUAAUAGUAAACAAAGACAGUGCUAUUAUCUACAAAUUACUUCAUUAGGGACAGAGAAAGUACGUAUGCUAUUGAGCAUUUAAAGACGCAAUUUUCCCUGGAUGGUGUGCAAUUCAUAUAACCGGGACCUAAACGUAAAACUUAUAACACGAGAAUAAAUUUUGCAAAAAUAAUCCUUGCUAACAUGCUUGCAUUCUACCCUGUGCCAGGCAUACUGUGUGAGCAGUUUGCAAGCAUUCACACAUUUAAUCCUCAUUCAACACUGUCGGGGAGCUACUAGGAAUUCUCUGAUUUUACACUCGGGGGAAACUUAGGCUCGGAGACCUUUGUGUCCUGUUCAAGAUCAUUCCUUGCAAUGUGGGAACCAGUAUUUGAAGGGGAGCAGUCUGAGAUCUUAUUCCACACAUCUGGCUACAAUUUCAUGUCACCUCUUUGUUUCUCUUUUCUGCGCUUCCUCAUGAUCAGUUUCAUGCCCUUCCUACCCUCUGGGCAACUGGCCCCGUAAAGGCAGAUCUUUGUCCACCUUACUGGUACCUAUGUUUCCGGCACCUUGCACAGCCUAGGCACAAAUAAGAUGGAGACUAGACACAUAUUGACUGAUUUGUCACAGCACAGAGCUGCUCCUCCCUACCUGUAUUUCUGGUGAAAGAAAGAAAAGUUGGGCUCAGUUUCACUGGCCAUUCAAUGCUUUAUUCUCACUGCCAAGCUGACUCAGCCCCCAGGCAGGCUGUGAUUUUUGUAUUGCAUUUUUUUAAAAUGGUAGCAGAGGCUGCACUUUAAGUGAUACGUCCAUCCUAAUCUCACAGGACAUAUAUUUUCAGUUCUAAAUCAGUUACCAGUUUUAUAUAUGAGAUUUGCUUUCCUGUUUCAAGCACAUUCCACUGUCCUGGGCAGCUUGGUAUUUAUGUAUUCCAGAUUCUCUUUGUUUCCACUGGGCUCCAUUUAAAAUAAUCCUGGAACUCCUAUGAGACAUGAUGUUCUGGUUGGAGGUUGUUUGGAUUGGAAUAUACAUAGAACAUGGAUUCCUGUUGUCCACAGAAUCUGUGAGUCACAUCUUUGUCAGUUAUGGUGUUUACAUUGUUUUCUGUCCUCUUCGGUGAAACUAUGGGGAGGAAAUGACUCAGAAAUGGGAAUAUUAAGUUGUUCAGGUCCAAAGUGUUUCUCAGACUAGUGGUAGUGAAGGCAUUAGGUUAGGCACUAGUGGUAGUGAAGGCAUUAGGUUUGAGAGCAGGUGUUCUUCGAAGGAAUUGCGGGUAACUUUCACUCUUCAGGAACAAAAAAAUGAAAUUGAAGAAGAUGAAAGAGAUGAGGUCUUCCCCACCGCUGCCCAGAAAUCCCUGGCCGUGGACACCAGCUGAGGGUCGUUCUUUCCCUUUGAUGUUGUCGGAGAGUGACGGCGUGGAGGGCUGCAGCAGCACUCUGGAAAAGAAAAAAAAAGAUGGGAGCAGGAAAGCGAGGCCAGCAGGGAGCUCGGGAUCUUCUGCGAAAGUCCACAGCAAAUUUUAAGCGUGUAAAAGGGUUUUCCCUCCUUUGGAACUUCAUUGCCGCUAGACCUGGGGAACCUGCCCUGGUUGCUGUUCUCCAUCCGUGUCCGGCUGGUGCCGACGCAGGCCUUCCAGACUGGGUACCAAUGAUAAAAAACAAAUCAUGCUUAGGCAAGCAAAAUGCAAUAUUCGGA